GGACUGCCUUUUGCAUAAUGAGCCUGCGAGUUGUGGUGUCUGGCAAGGUUAAGCAAACGCGAAGCCGUAGCGAAAGCGAGUCUGAAUAGGGCGCUUAGUCAGAUGCUGCAGACCCGAAACGAAGUGAUCUAUCCAUGAGCAAGUUGAAGCUAGUGUAAGAACUAGUGGAGGACUGAACCCAUAGGCGUUGAAAAGCCCCGGGAUGACUUGUGGAUAGGGGUGAAAGGCCAAUCAAACUUCGUGAUAGCUGGUUCUCUCCGAAAUAUAUUUAGGUAUAGCGUUGUGUCGUAAUAUAAGGGGGUAGAGCACUGAAUGGGCUAGGGCAUACACCAAUGUACCAAACCCUAUCAAACUCCGAAUACCUUAUAUGUAAUCACAGCAGUCAGGCGGCGAGUGAUAAAAUCCGUCGUCAAGAGGGAAACAACCCAGACUACCAGCUAAGGUCCCUAAAUCUUACUUAAGUGGAAAACGAUGUGAAGUUACUUAAACAACCAGGAGGUUGGCUUAGAAGCAGCCAUCCUUUAAAGAAAGCGUAAUAGCUCACUGGUCUAGUGAUUUUGCGCGGAAAAUAUAACGGGGCUAAAGUAAGUACCGAAGCUGUAGACUUGCGCACAACUUAGAUUAUUUAAGUUUAGAAUAUGAGAAACUAAGUUAUAUGUUUAGUUAUAUUUUUACUGAUUUUUAUAGAGUAAAGAUAGAAAUAAAACUUAGUAAAAUCAGUAAAAAUAUUCUUAGACUAAAGUUAAGUAGUUUAAGUUGUGUGCAAGUGGUAGGAGAGCGUUCUAUUUGCGUCGAAGGUAUACCGGUAAGGAGUGCUGGAGCGAAUAGAAGUGAGCAUGCAGGCAUGAGUAGCGAUAAUUAAUGUGAGAAUCAUUAACGCCGUAAACCCAAGGUUUCCUACGCGAUGCUCGUCAUCGUAGGGUUAGUCGGGUCCUAAGUCGAGUCCGAAAGGGGUAGACGAUGGCAAAUUGGUUAAUAUUCCAAUACCAACAUUAGUGUGCGAUGGAAGGACGCUUAGGGCUAAGGGGGCUAGCGGAUGGAAGUGCUAGUCUAAGGUCGUAGGAGGUUAUACAGGCAAAUCCGUAUAACAAUACUCCGAGAACUGAAAGGCUUUUUGAAGUCUUCGGAUGGAUAGAAGAACCCCUGAUGCCGUCGAGCCAAGAAAAGUUUCUAAGUUUAGCUAAUGUUGCCCGUACCGUAAACCGACACAGGUGGGUGGGAUGAGUAUUCUAAGGCGCGUGGAAGAACUCUCUUUAAGGAACUCUGCAAAAUAGCACCGUAUCUUCGGUAUAAGGUGUGGUUAGCUUUGUAUUAGGAUUUACUCCGAAAGCAAGGAAACUUACAACAAAGAGUCCCUCCCGACUGUUUACCAAAAACACAGCACUCUGCUAACUCGUAAGAGGAUGUAUAGGGUGUGACGCCUGCCCGGUGCUCGAAGGUU
rnacentral:rRNA from 1 species